rnacentral:rRNA from 1 species
CACCGGCGCCACGAGUGGUCGUCACGAUUAUUGGGCCUAAAGCGUUCGUAGCCGGUCUGGUAAAUCUCUUGUGAAAUUGUUCGGCUUAACCGGACGGCGUGCAGGAGACACUGCCAGACUCGAGACCGGGAGGGGGUAGAAGUAUUCCGUGGGGACCGGUAAAAUGGGAUAAUCCACGGAGGACUACCGAUGGCGAAGGCAUCUACCCAGAACGGGUCUGACGGUGAGGAACGAAAGCCAGGGGAGCGAACCGG